rnacentral:rRNA from 1 species
AUGAAUUCCUUGAAUAUCCAUGAUGCUAAUGAUAUGCAAAGCCACAAGCUUGGGGAUGCUAUGUUUGAUGAAGAUGAUAUUUUUAAUCCCCCAAGUUUGGAUGAGCAAAUUUAUUUUGAUGAUAGCAUGCCUCCUAUUUAUGAUGAUUAUUGUGAUGACAUGUAUGCUAUAAAGAAUAAAGAUAACCAUGAACUUGUCAUCAUGAUUUUAAUUUUCAAUUGGAUUAUGCUUCACAUGAUAGUUAUUUUGUUGAGUUUGCUCCCACUACUACUGAUGAGAAUAAAUUUGCUUAUGUGGAGAGUAGUAAAAUUUCUAUGCAAGUAG